CCGGCGGGGCGUGCACCCGUGCACCAAACAAAGUCGAGCCUCUUCCUGGCCAGGCUCAAGUUCCGCACCUGCCUCCUCCUGGGAUGCGACCGGGAAACAGCAGCGGUACCGCGGGGCUGCCACCGGAGGGAGCUAGGCCCAGCGCACAAGGGACCCAGACCCCAGACCCCUGAAGGGGGCCCAGGCCUCCUGCAGCCUCCCUGGAGCCUAAGCCUGGGGUGCGCACAGGUCGCUCUGCCCGCCCCCCCCCCUUCAGAAGCCAGGAGGGCGGCAGGAGGACAUUCGACUACUCUGCCGGUGGUUUACAGACCCACAUGGAGCUGACACACAGAUGCCCCAUCUCCUGGGAAGUCCAGGCUGCAAGCUCUUACCCACCAUUGUACAGGGCUGGCAGGACAUGAAAGGAGGCGGCACCUGGCUGGAGACUGCUACACACAGCCUGGGGGCACGGGUUAAACGAGAAAAUCCGCCUUCUGCAGAUGCGUGUGUCUCCACGUUUGUACAAUGGAUGCAGGUGUAUUUUUAAAAGUAGACGUUUUGGGUUGUUGCUUUGCCUUGCUUUGUUUUGGAAUAGGAUAACUUGAUCCUAAAAUUCAUUCAGAAAAAUAAACACAGAGAAACAUCCAGAAACAUGCUGAAGAAGAAGAAUGAGGUGGGGGGACUGGACCACCAGAUACAACAUGCCGUUGCACAAGCUGCUGACCGGCAGUGGAGCACAGCGGAAAUGCCUGGACCAGAUUCUAA